rnacentral:rRNA from 1 species
GUGGGGAAUAUUGGGCAAUGGAGGAAACUCUGACCCAGCAACGCCGCGUGAAGGAUGAAGGUUUUCGGAUUGUAAACUUCUGUCGCAGGGGACGAAGAAUGACGGUACCCUGUAAGAAAGCCCCGGCAAACUACGUGCCAGCAGCCGCGGUAAUACGUAGGGGGCAAGCGUUGUCCGGAAUGACUGGGCGUAAAGGGAGUGUAGGCGGCCAAUCAAGUUACAUGUGAAAUCCCACGGCUUAACCGUGGAACUGCAUGUAAAACUGAAUGGCUGGAGUGCAGGAGAGGUAAGUGGAAUUCCUAGUGUAGCGGUGGAAUGCGUAGAUAUUAGGAGGAACACCAGUGGCGAAGGCGACUUACUGGACUGUAACUGACGCUGAGGCUCGAAAGCGUGGGUAGCAAACAGGA